GAUGAACGCUAGCGGCAGGCUUAACACAUGCAAGUCGAGGGGUAGAGGUUGCUUGCAACCUUGAGACCGGCGCACGGGUGCGUAACGCGUAUGCAACCUACCUUUUACAGAGGGAUAGCCCAGAGAAAUUUGGAUUAAUACCUCAUAGUAUAUAUCUUUCGCAUGUUAGGUAUAUUAAAGUUCCAACGGUAAAAGAUGGGCAUGCGUCCUAUUAGCUAGAUGGUAAGGUAACGGCUUACCAUGGCUACGAUAGGUAGGGGUCCUGAGAGGGAGAUCCCCCACACCGGUACUGAGACACGGACCAGACUCCUACGGGAGGCAGCAGUGAGGAAUAUUGGACAAUGGGCGCAAGCCUGAUCCAGCCAUGCCGCGUGCAGGAAGAAGCAUCUAUGGUGUGUAAACUGCUUUUGUACAGGAAGAAACAUCCCGACGUGUCGGGGCUUGACGGUACUGUAAGAAUAAGGAUCGGCUAACUCCGUGCCAGCCGCCGCGGUAAGAC
rnacentral:rRNA from 1 species